rnacentral:lncRNA from 1 species
AUCACCUUCUUUUUAAGAGUCAUUAAAAACAGCCCAGCUGUGCCUUGCAGUGGAAAUCACUAGCCGCUGUUGUCUUCAUGUCAGUUUGUCAUUGUUAAUAAGAUAACAUUGGUUUUAUUAUUCUUAAUCUACCAUAAAACUGUAUGUCAACUCUCCUAUCAGGAAAACCUUACCAGCAAUGGAAACAUGUUAAUAUUAAUAUAGCAUUGCCAUUUAGUAACAGAUUAUGUGGUUGACAUAAUAUGUCUGAGUUUCUUUGAGGGUGUUAUAUAUGCUCUCUUCACUCAGGGCUGUUGCCUUUCUGAAAUAUCUCGAGGUGGCGUUUUCCUCGUACUGGUGACUCCAUGGUAAUAUGGAAGUGCCUUCCCAAUAGUGAGGCUACUACAGGGAUUCCAAGGUGAUUCUUG